rnacentral:misc_RNA from 1 species
CGAAUGGGUCCAAAGACUCUUAAAACCUACCGUGCUCCCCCAUGUGGAAAACAGGAAAGCCCUCCGGGGCAUAGGAAAUCUGAGAAGUUGAGAACUGCGCCCCGGCGCAUGACUAAAACAAAAAAUUA